rnacentral:rRNA from 1 species
UGUAUUUAUUAGAUAAAAAACCAACGCCUUCGGGGCUUCUUGGUGAUUCAUGAUAACUUCACGGAUCGCAUGGCCUUGCGCCGGCGACGGUUCAUUCAAAUUUCUGCCCUAUCAACUUUCGAUGGUAAGGUAUUGGCUUACCAUGGUUUCAACGGGUAACGGGGAAUUAGGGUUCGAUUCCGGAGAGGGAGCCUGAGAAACGGCUACCACAUCCAAGGAAGGCAGCAGGCGCGCAAAUUACCCAAUCCCGACACGGGGAGGUAGUGACAAUAAAUACUGAUACAGGGCUCUUUUGGGUCUUGUAAUUGGAAUGAGUACAAUUUAAACCUCUUAACGAGGAACAAUUGGAGGGCAAGUCUGGUGCCAGCAGCCGCGGUAAUUCCAGCUCCAAUAGCGUAUAUUAAAGUUGUUGCAGUUAAAAAGCUCGUAGUUGAAACUUGGGCCUGGCUGGCAGGUCCGCCUCACCGCGUGUACUUGUCCGGCCGGGCCUUUCCUUCUGGAGAACCUCAUGCCCUUCACUGGGUGUGUUGGGGAACCAGGACUUUUACUUUGAAAAAAUUAGAGUGUUCAAAGCAGGCCUUUGCUCGAAUACGUUAGCAUGGAAUAAUAGAAUAGGACGUGCGGUCCUAUUUUGUUGGUUUCUAGGACCGCCGUAAUGAUUAAUAGGGACAGUCGGGGGCAUCAGUAUUCAAUUGUCAGAGGUGAAAUUCUUGGAUUUAUUGAAGACUAACUACUGCGAAAGCAUUUGCCAAGGAUGUUUUCAUUAAUCAGUGAACGAAAGUUAGGGGAUCGAAGACGAUCAGAUACCGUCGUAGUCUUAACCGUAAACUAUGCCGACUAGGGAUCGGGCGAUGUUCUUUUUCUGACUCGCUCGGCACCUUACGAGAAAUCAAAG